UACGUAGGGUGCAAGCGUUAAUCGGAAUUACUGGGCGUAAAGCGUGCGCAGGCGGUUCGCUAAGACCGAUGUGAAAUCCCCGGGCUUAACCUGGGAACUGCAUUGGUGACUGGCGGGCUAGAGUAUGGCAGAGGGGGGUAGAAUUCCACGUGUAGCAGUGAAAUGCGUAGAGAUGUGGAGGAACACCGAUGGCGAAGGCAGCCCCCUGGGUUAACACUGACGCUCAGGCACGAAAGCGUGGGGAGCAAACAGG
rnacentral:rRNA from 1 species